rnacentral:rRNA from 1 species
AUUGAACGCUGGCGGAAUGCUUUACACAUGCAAGUCGAACGGCAGCACGGGGGCAACCCUCGGUGGCGAGUGGCGAACGGGUGAGUAAUACAUCGGAACGUGCCCAAUCGUGGGGGAGUGACUACGCGAAAGCGUAGCUAAUACCGCAUACGAUCUACGGAUGAAAGCGGGGGAGUCGCAAGACCUCGCGCGAAUGGAGCGGCCGAUGGCAGAUUAGGUAGNGGUGGGGUAAAGGCUCACCAAGCCGUCGAUCUGUAGCUGGUCUGAGAGGACGACCAGCCACACUGGGACUGAGACACGGCCCAGACUCCUACGGGAGGCAGCAGUGGGAAUUUUGGACAAUGGGCGCAAGCCUGAUCCAGCCAUUCCGCGUGCAGGAUGAAGGCCCUCGGGUUGUAAACUGCUUUUGUACGGAACGAAAAGCNCUGAGUUAAUACCUCGGCGUCAUG